UAUUGAGCGGAAUAGAGAGGAGUUAGGCUGGGUCACAAGCGAGAAACGGAGGAAGGGGAUAUGUCCCUGAGGAGCUUGACGAGGUGAGUGGGCAUGGGAGGUCGGAGCCGAGCAACUGUUGGGCUUUGCAGCGCCGCAAUUAUACUGAUCGCUUAUAUGAUAAAAAGGGAUUAAUGUGUGGUGAAAACUGAGCAGAGGACAGAAUACAAUUUAUGGUUCACUUUCUUAUAUAUACAUUAAAUUUUAGCCUCCCCGCAAGCUUCACAGAGCACCAAGCCGCGCGUCUGCCCCUCAACCCGCCCCUGAAGCAGUAGACUGCCGGCGCUCAUCUUUUCCAUGUGCUUCAAAGUCUAGAGUCCGUACCGACGCUCUUCCUAAUCCUUCGCCUCGCUACAUCCUCUGUUCUCCCAGCCAUGGGCGGUGCCAUUAGUGUACCAUCAAGCCCUGCAUAAACUUGAAAAAAUAGAAGCUACCACUCUAUCAAUUGAUCGGAGAGAGGUGGUAGGUGGCCAUGAGCUUGGCUCUGAAUAUUGUAAGGUUGUCGUGAACCAUGUGAUUAAAAUAGAUGUUAUUCUUCCUCGUGGUGUUGGGAACAUGACAACCAUGGGGCAAGCUCAAGGGUGAUGUAUCGCAUGGCCUUACAAGCAUUUGGAAGUGGACUAUUCAGUGGCAAAUGUAGCAAGCUAAUGAGGAUUUGUCCAUAGGCACUUCUUGAAGUCCAUCUCUUGGUUUCAAGGAGUUUAUAUGAUGACCAAGGUGGUAUUCAAUAUAUUAUCCAAAGAUUAAUCAUAAUGACACAAGGUUGAUCAAGACUAAGCAAAGAGUAAAUCAAGAUAAUCAACACACAAAGUGUACAAGAUAUACCGAGAG